GGAGCCGUAGUUCAGCCCGGUCAGAACGCCGGCCUGUCAAGCCGGAGGGCGCGGGUUCAAAUCCCGUCGGCUCCGCCA
rnacentral:tRNA from 1 species